rnacentral:rRNA from 1 species
ACGCACGCUGGCGGCGUGCUUAACCCCUGCCAGUCGAACGGAAAGGCCCUGCUUGCAGGGUCCUCGAGUGGCGAACGGGUGAGUAACACGUGGGUGAUCUGCCCUGCACUUCGGGAUAAGCCUGGGAAACUGGGUCUAAUACCGGAUAGGAGCCAUUUUUAGUGUGAUGGUUGGAAAGUUUUUUCGGUGUAGGAUGAGCUCGCGGCCUAUCAGCUUGUUGGUGGGGUAAUGGCCUACCAAGGCGGCGACGGGUAGCCGGCCUGAGAGGGUGGACGGCCACAUUGGGACUGAGAUACGGCCCAGACUCCUACGGGAGGCAGCAGUGGGGAAUAUUGCACAAUGGGCGCAAGCCUGAUGCAGCGACGCCGCGUGGGGGAUGACGGCCUUCGGGUUGUAAACUCCUUUCGCUAGGGACGAAGCUUUUUGUGACGGUACCUAGAUAAGAAGCACCGGCUAACUACGUG